rnacentral:tRNA from 1 species
UUUGCCCGAGUGGUCUAAGGGGGUGGACUUAAGAUCCACUAGACGUGAGUCUGCGUGGGUUCGAACCCCACAGC